GCCCCUCUAGCUUAGUGGUAAAGCAGCAGUUUUGUAAACUGUCGACCCAGGUCCGAUUCCUGGGAGGGGCUCAA
rnacentral:tRNA from 1 species